CCUACGGGAGGCAGCAGUGGGGAAUAUUGGGCAAUGGAGGAAACUCUGACCCAGCGACGCCGCGUGCGGGAUGAAGGCCUUCGGGUUGUAAACCGCUUUCAGUAGGGAAGAAGCGAAAGUGACGGUACCUACAAAAGAAGCACCGGCUAACUAUGUGCCAGCAGCCGCGGUAAUACAUAGGGUGCAAGCGUUGUCCGGAAUUAUUGGGCGUAAAGAGCUCGUAGGUCGUUUGUUACGUCGGAUGUGAAAACCUGAGGCUCAACCUCAGGCCUGCAUUCGAUACGGGCAAACUAGAGUUUGGUAGGGGAGACUGGAAUUCCUGGUGUAGCGGUGGAAUGCGCAGAUAUCAGGAGGAACACCAAUGGCGAAGGCAGGUCUCUGGGCCAAUACUGACACUGAGGAGCGAAAGUCUGGGGAGCGAACAGGAUUAGAUACCCUGGUAGUCCAGACCGUAAACGGUGGGCACUAGUUGUGGGAACCUUCCACGGUUUCUGCGACGCAGCUAACGCAUUAAGUGCCCCGCCUGGGGAGUACGAUCGCAAGAUUAAAACUUAAAGGAAAUUGACGG
rnacentral:rRNA from 1 species